rnacentral:rRNA from 1 species
GACGAACGCUGGCGGCGUGCUUAACACAUGCAAGUCGAGCGGGGAUCUUAAUUGGAAAGCUUCGGCCGGAAGAUUGAGAUUCUAGCGGCGGACGGGUGAGUAACGCGUGAGCAAUCUGUCCUACACAGGGGGAUAACACUUGGAAACAGGUGCUAAUACCGCAUAAGACCACGGGAUCACAUGUUCCUGGGGUAAAAGAUUUAUCGGUGUAGGGUGAGCUCGCGUCCGAUUAGCUAGUUGGUGAGGUAACGGCCCACCAAGGCGACGAUCGGUAGCCGGACUGAGAGGUUGAACGGCCACAUUGGGACUGAGACACGGCCCAG